UCACUUACAUAGAUGGUGUCUAUGAGUAAUUGUGUAGGCUCAUAGCCUAAGCUAUUGACCUCCAUUGCAUAUUGCGGAAGGCUGCUACCUAAGAUAUCCCCAAGAGGGAAAGUCUACGUCAUAAUUUGUAAUAGCGGGGGCCUGCAUUCGCGCAAACCCUGU